CCAGGGGUUAUGUUUCCUUUGGGAUUCACCAGGGAUUUUGUUUCCUUCGAGAUUCACCAGAGGUAAAGGUAGAGAUGCACCGACGAUUGACAAGCGAAAUUCGUGAUCUAGCCACUGGAACUAGUGCUAUGCUUCCGCUCAUGAGAUUUAUAUUUCUUUUCAUGUUUUGCUUAACUUUCAGUUUUGAUGUUUAAAACUUACUAUUAAGAAUUGUUUUCAGACUUAUUUAUUAACAUUUAUGAUUUAUGGGUACCUGAUAACGGGCAGAAAUGCUCGUUAUCAUAGUACUAAGUUCUUAAACAAUGUUGGAUUGCGUUGAUAGAAUAUGUUAAUUGCGUCCAUUAAGCAUAAAUUCUACAAUAUUGCGGUCUCAUGUGUCCAA